rnacentral:rRNA from 1 species
CCUACGGGAGGCAGCAGUGGGGGAUAUUGGACAAUGGGGGAAACCCUGAUCCAGCGAUGCCGCGUGAGGGAAGAAGGUUUUCGGAUUGUAAACCUCUGUGGAGGGGGACGAGAAUGACGGUACCCCUUUAGGAAGCCACGGCUAACGACGUGCCAGCAGCCGCGGUAAUACGUAGGGGGCAAGCGUUAUCCGGAUUUACUGGGUGUAAAGGGAGCGCAGACGGCUGUGCAAGGGUGGAGUGAAAGGCGGGGGCCCAACCCCCGUACUGCUCUGGAAACUGUAAAGCUUGAGUGCAGGAGAGGUAAGCGGAAUGCCUAGUGUAGCGGUGAAAUGCGUAGAUAUUAGGAGGAACACCAGUGGCGAAGGCGGCUUACUGGACUGCAACUGACGUUGAGGCUCGAAAGCGUGGGGAGCAAACAGGAUUAGAUACCCCAGUAGUC